rnacentral:lncRNA from 1 species
UACCAUGUUCUGCAUGUUUCCACCUCUGUUUCAAACACGACGCGAUAAAAUUGAAGACUUUUUCGGGGCACGUGUCAAAUGUAUUGCUAAUUCAUAGGCGAUGCUGAAAGUGGUUUCAUCCUCAUUUCUACGGUCUCUGUGCGCUAAUAUUUAAUGGUUUUCAUCGUGCAGCAACAUGGUAAACCGUUGUUGUGUCAAGACAUGCAAGCAACACUUUGAUUACAAGCCCCAACAUAAGCAGGGUGCAAAAUGGAAACUACACAGAACCUUGGUACGUCACCUGCGACGGCGACGUCACCUGCGAGUUCCGCGGAACCCCUGACGCCGUCACCAGCUGGACCAUCCGCGGCACUGGACCAUCCAGCGACGGCCGUGACGCCGUCACCAGCUGGACCAUCCGCGGCACUGGACCAUCCAGCGACGGCCGUGACGCCGUCACCAGCUGAACCAUCCGCGGCCCUGGACCAUCCAGCGACGGCCGUGACGCCGUCACCAGCUGGACCAUCCGCGGCACUGGACCAUCCAGCGACGGCCGUGGCGUCGACUCUGCCGGUGCCGGAGAGGUCGGCGACGUCACCUGCGCCGCUGGUGUCAACACCGCAUGGACAUCAGCUGCGAGCUGGUAAACGGCGGUGGAGUGGAAGCAGAGCGCGCAAGCCACCAGCCAGCUGACUCAGAGCCCAGGGGGCGUUCGCCACCAACAUCCGCACGGCGCAGCUGCAGAGGUGAUUUCUGCCAUGGAGCAGCAUCCGCGGCUCCAUGACAUCAUCCUUCCAUCAUUCUCCAUCAUCAUUUCCGGAGCUCACCCGACGGCGGAGCUGGCUUAGGUCGGCGUUUGAGGCGCGGCGGGGGGCAACGUCUCUGUGCCCUGCUCCGGGUCCCCGCCGCCUGCGGUCUCUUCUGCUGCCGCCACUGAGGGGAACGGCUCUUCUUUGAAGACAUCAUCGGUCGACGGUGAUGCUGGCGGGCCGGUGGCGGCGUGCCCCGUCGGCAGCGCGCCUGGGGAGGACGCUGGUGACGACGAAUCUUCAUCGCCGUCGGCACCGGUCGCGAGCGAGUCGCUGUUUAGUUGGCCUGCUACUGUGCCAAAAAGUGCGACUGUGGCCAGACUGGUAUACGAUUUGUCAGUGCUUACGCCCCUCUUGCCGUGCCGGCCGUGCUCUUUGCCGUCUAUUGGGGAUGCGUUAGAGUUAUCGUUUUGGGGUUUAUACCGGUAUCAAGAUUGAUUUAAAAGAUGGAUUUCAUCACAUUUCUCGCGCACGUUCCACACGUCCUUUUGGUGUUUUGUAUGAUGGUAAAACGUGCUUAUACCUUUUCUCUGUUACCAAUGGGCCCUAUUAGGUACUGCAUCUCCUGCAUUAUUAGGUAGAGAUGCAGUACCAUUAUUAGGUACUGCAUUAUUAGGUACUGAAGGAGAUGCAGUUAGGUACUGCAUCUCCUUCGGAGAUGCAGUACCUAACAGAUGCUUUCAGUGAACUUGUAGAGUCGAGAUUUAACGUCAGGUGUUUGGCGUAUUUAGAUGAUUUUCUUUUCAUGUCCAAGGACGCUGAAUGGUAUCGCUGCGUUUCUGACUAGUGUUGGGUUGUGUAUUAAUUUCAAUAAAUUAGUUCUCGUUCCGUU